GACGAACGCUGGCGGCGUGCCUAAUACAUGCAAGUAGAACGCUGAAGAGAGGAGCUUACUCUUCUUGGAUGAGUUGCGAACGGGUGAGUAACGCGUAGGUAACCUGCCUUGUAGCGGGGGAUAACUAUUGGAAACGAUAGCUAAUACCGCAUAACAAUGGAUGACACAUGUCAUUUAUUUGAAAGGGGCAAUUGCUCCACUACAAGAUGGACCUGCGUUGUAUUAGCUAGUAGGUGAGGUAAUGGCUCACCUAGGCGACGAUACAUAGCCGACCUGAGAGGGUGAUCGGCCACACCGGGACUGAGACACUGCCCAGACUCAUACGGGAGGCAGCAGUAGGGAAUCUUCGGCAAUGGGGGCAAACCUGACCGAGCAACGCCGCGUGAGUGAAGAAGGUUUUCGGAUCGUAAAGCUCUGUUGUAAGUCAAGAAAGGGUGUGAGAGUGGAAAGUUCACACUGUGACGGUAGCUUACCAGAAAGGGACGGCUAACUACGUG
rnacentral:rRNA from 1 species